rnacentral:rRNA from 1 species
UACGAAGGGGGCUAGCGUUGUUCGGAGUUACUGGGCGUAAAGCGCACGCAGGCGGCUCGAUAAAUUAGAAGUGAAAGCCCCGGGCUUAACCUGGGAAUUGCUUUUAAGACUGUCGGGCUAGAAUCCAGAAGAGGGUAGUGGAAUUCCGAGUGUAGAGGUGAAAUUCGUAGAUAUUCGGAAGAACACCAGUGGCGAAGGCGACUACCUGGUCUGGCAUUGACGCUCAUGUGCGAAAGCGUGGGGAGCAAACAGG